AGAGAGAGAGAGGGAGAGGGAAAGGGAAAUGUCACCCGGAGCCCGGGCCCGCGGGGGAGAGGUGGCGCGUUAGAGAUGUGUGUGGGAGAGAGGGAGCGAGAGAGAGAGAGAGAGAGAGGGGGAGCGAGACCUCCGCUGGCCCCGCGAACUUGUCAAGUACAAAACACCAAGCUUUUGGGCUCAAAAACCUAGACCAUCAUGGCUACGAAAACUACUGCUGCUGAGUGAAGAGAGUAUGUAAUUCUGGAGCUCCUUAAAGAAAAAAGUGGUGCGAUGCAACAUUGGUUGUGAAAAGUUCUGGCUUGGUAUCUGUGAAAACGGAAGACCAUUCUUUAUUCGUGGAUUAAUUACAGCAGAACAGUGGCCAAGUGAUCUUCUCCACAGCACCCAUGAUCUUCAACCUUGAACCAAAGAAGACUCAUAAAAUGCCUUAGGAAAGACAGUAUGGAGUUGGAAGAGAAGCAGAGAUCUCCAUGAAGUGCAGUCAGUUAUAGUUGGGGUCGGCAUGCUUGGUUGGUCUGCCAGGCGACACGUGUAGCUCAGACCUGGCCACAAUGUGAGCUGCCUCCUGUUCUCCUAAACAUCAGAUGCUGAAAUUCAGAGAAGUAUCUUCAGAAGGGAAUGGGAAAACAGCCAGGCUAGCUUCAGCACAAGUGUGUUGGUGGCACCUAUAAGCAUGCAGGUGUGUGGAGGAACAGGUCCUGUUCUCGCUGUUGUUACUCCCACAUAGGCAGACUCUGUAAUUGAUUAUGUGUGGGUAGGGCCCUAUUGAAAUUCAGGAGAUUCUGCAGUAGUGCGGGGUUCUUUUUGUGAAAGUUCAGUUGCAAGAUCAGGACCCUACUGUGCCUCCUUACUGUGCAUUCUGUCACUGUCUCAUUGAUUGUACUGGAACCUGCCUGUUGGGAUAAUCACCAAAUACUAUGUUCCUCAAAACUUCUUAAUGACACUGAGGCUUUGUGGAUAGUUGGUCACAUGAUGAGAAAAUUCAGCUGUAAUUCAUCAUGGGACCCUGAAGUUCUUCCCUACUGCUAUUAGGACCACAGCAAGAGAACAACAUCAAGAGGAGAUGUUGUUUUGGAAUGUAGGGAGUGGGCAUUUGCUGCGCAGCUACACUUUGUCAGCUGUUCAGAAUACCUCAAAGGCUGAAAUGCCAAACUACAGCAACAAAGUAAGUUUCCUUUUGUGCACUGGGAAGGAAGAGCAAAGGAAUGUGCCUGAACAUUGAGCAUGUUAGUUGUAAGUCUCGGAGAUCUCUUCCCCUACUGCUGUUUGCACUCUGUUUGUAUGGUGACUGUCCUGAAUGUAGCUUGUCUUUAUUUGUGUUGAAUGAGGCACUCCUCGCAUUGUAACGUUGUGAACAUUGUUUUUCUUCUUGAAAGUCAAAACAUGGUAGCACAGAUAGCUGUAACAAGUUAUUAAUAAACAUGACACAAAAUAAUUUUCUCAUUUCACAGUAUUUAUAGGAAAAACAAUGUUUUAUGCGUUUCAUAUACCUCUUCUUUUCCAAUCCUAAGGAGAUUUAAUGCAUGAAAAUUUCCUUCAGCAAUGUCCUCAGUUCUUCAUUUCCAGUUACAACUACUGGUCUUUUGUUAGUAGUUUUUUUUGUAUUUAGGUUGAUGCCCUCACAACACCUCUCUGAACCCUUUAUGAAUGAUACCAUCAUACUGUCAUUUGUUUUGUCAUCAAAUCUAGUGUAAACUUGCAUUUUGGGAAUUUUUUUUCAAUCCUUAAAGGAUAAUCAUUCUUCUCUGUAAGCAGGUUUUUCAUGAAUCAAGUCUUUAUUAGAAAAUCUUUUACUUUGCCUUGACAAAAUACAGCCUUGCCUUGCUCAUUAGCUAGCCAAAGUGCUGCUCUACUGUAAAUACCAUUUUCCAAACCUACUCCUUUGCUAUUUUCAAUUUCCUGCUUCAUUUUAAAGCAAUAAAGAUAAGCUAUCUGUCUUUAUUUUCAACGCUCAUCAGGACUACUUCUACCUGAUACUUCUUCUUCAGUAUCAAGAGGUUGACUCUGGUUUUGAUCAACAUAUGAUGCCAACUUCCAUCAUUUGGUCAUUAAAUUUUCAGACCACACUGAAUGUUUUCUCCUCGGCUGCCUCUCAUGUAUUGGUUGACUUCUUCAUAAACACAAGUGUUCACUAUCUUCCCUCUAUUUUUUUCUUAAAAGUUUUAUGUACUGUGAAGCUUCAAGCAAUCCAACUAGACAACAGUUAUAUUGCAGGUAUAUUAAUGCCAAUGCAUAUCACAGUAGUACUGUGACAUUGCAUUUGCUGCCAUAAUACCUCUGUUGUCUCUUUAUGUAGAAUCUAAGCAUAUCUAUAUUUUGUUGUGUGUUUCUUCAUGGCCCAGCAUAAUAAGAAGUGGCCCAUGGUGAAGCCUUUCAAGAUUUAUGGUAGUACAGAUAAACAAUAAUGAAUAUGCACUGGAUGCUGCAGUGUAGCGGUUGGAUUCUGUUGUACCUAAUGCCACAUAAUAAUUUAAUGCAGAAAGAAGGUGCUCCAACCAGAGGCCUCACAAAAGGAAAAGAAGUGAGUUGCAGCCAACAAAAAAAAUACUAGCCCCAGAGACCUUCUGAGCUGUCAAACUCAUGUCCAUAGCUACUGGCAUUGUGUCCUGAAAGCAUCUCUCUCUUCUCCUCUCCACAGCAGUAAGAACAGAUUCUCCCUUCUUGUAAAAGGAAGUAAAUGCAAAUAUCACAAAGGUCUGCAGCCUAUGCAGAAGGACAUUUUAGACUUCUGUAUCAUCCUUCAUGUAUUUCAGUCCUUUUUUCAAAUGCCAUUUGAUUUGUGUUGGGAGGGAACCUACACUAGUUUUUAUUUGGUAUCUUGGCACAUUCCUAUCUCGUAGUGUUCUGCUUCCUUUGUGCCUCAAAAGUAAUGAUUCUUCAGAAAAGUUAUAAGGAUUAAUAAAAUUGGGAAUUCCCCAGGUAUGUUACCCUCUUUCUGUAAGUGGGUCUGCAUGUAACCCUUUCUUUUAAAGGUGCACUGAAAUGUCAGUUUUUAGAUCGUACAGAGAUGAUGGAAUGUUGAGUACCUGGCUGAUUACAGAGAUGGUAGAUUGGAGUGUGCAGACAAAUGGUGCAGUAUGUACCAAAGAAAAUAUAGUCCCAUAGUUUAAUUUUAUCAGAAUAAACCACAAAAUGUAGUUCUGUAUGGUUCUGUGGCUGAAUAGGAGGAUUCAGUAAGAGCUUUGGGCUAGUUGGUGAGACAGAGGCAAUUGCUGUUAAAUACUGUGGGGGACUGAGGAGUCUGUACAGCCCAAAAGUUUGAUCAUAGCAACAGUUCUUGUUUAUAUAUGUAUAGACUGGAUAAACUUAAUGUUAGGCCUCAUUAGGCCAUCAUGCAUAGGCUGUGUAUUUAGAUAUCAUUGAGCACUAAUUUUUUAGCAAACAGAAUAGGGAAUCAAGAAGGAGAAAGACAGCCCUUCAUUUAGUCUAGAGCAGCAUACAACAAAUGACUGUGGAAGAACCAUUCAAUAGUGAGAUAUCAUACUCAAGUUUGUCAUACUUGUGGGAGAAAAAAAUUGAAAUAAAAUUUUUAAAAGUCCAGUCUUUUUUGAAGAAAGAAUUGUAUACUAAUGAAGACACAGUUAAAAUAAAUAUUAAAAAUACACUGGGGCUUUGUUUUCCAAUUCUAACUUGAUUAAAUAAGAGUUUCCCAACACAAUUCAGCAGUAAAAGAAGCUACUAGAAAUAAAUGCAGGUUUUUAAAAGAAGCAAAAUCCAAGCAAGCAAAGCAGAAAAGAGCACAAUUCUGGCAAGUGUAGACCUAAUAUGAAGCAGAACAAAAAGAUUUUGAAAUGCAGUAGACUGAAAUUCUAAAAGCCAAACCCCAUAUUUUUCCAGUGUAAAGUUUGCUAGUAGGGAGGUGAGUUUAAUAGAUAGCUGUGAUUAGGAAGAAAGACAAAGCCAUUACAGAAAGAAAUUGAACUCAUUGCACUGCCAAGGUUUAGGACAGGAUGAUUAGGGACAUCCCCAAAUAGUUGUUUUUUAUAGGGAAUAGUUCAGAUUUGAUAUCUCAAUAAAAGGUUUUUAAACAAAUUGAUUGAAUAAACAUUAAUCAAUUUCCCAAUAACAUGCUUUUCAUUCAGUAGUCCUAAAAAAAUUCAGAAAUUAAAUUGGUGAGCAAACCAUGAGCUGUGUUGCAUAAUCUGGUACUUAAAUUAGCCUUGAUAACAGAGGAAUGGAAAGCAACAAAUGUGACCCUAGUUUUAAACAGGGUUUUAGGGAUGGUGAUGGACUAAUGGACUAAAAAGGCUACCAUGACAGACAAAAUGGCAGUGAUUGUGAUAAAGCAUACAAGUAAUAGGAACAUGUAUAGGUGAAGUAGCUUUGGUGAAAUAGCUUGGGGUGAAAUAUCAUGGCUUUUGUACAAGUAGUUUUGUCUUAGAGCUUUGCUAGUUAUUUGAAGGAGUAAUUUCCAGAUGUGCAGGAAAACGUGACCCAAAAGUUUUUAAAAAGUUCUGUAACUGAAGACUGUUAACAAAAUGAAGUAGAGAGCCGCUUAAAAUUCUUUGUGGGUAUGUAAAGGGCUAGAAGGUAAGGAACAGUAUAGUGACUUAUGGGCAGUUUUAACACUGCCCCCUCACGGAGGUUUGUACAGGUACCUUUGCUGGUCCACCUGUUCCUAAACAGUCUGAAAAAGUGCAAUUGUAAAGAUUGCAGGUGAUAAAAGGAAAAUAUUCACAGUUGGAGGCAGACCUAAUCUUGACCCUGAAGAGCUGCAGAUGGAUCUCACAGCAGGACCUGUGGUGAUCCAGGAGCCAUGACUGUCACAGUGGCCAGAUAUCGCUGACCCCACUGUUCUGCUGAAACCAUCAUCAGAGAAGCUGUGGCUGUUGGAUUACAGCAGCCAUCAGCUGUAAACGGUGAGCUCAGCAGGCUGUGACCAGUCCUGCCACUCAGGAAGGCAGGGACCUGUAGCUGUUCUUUUUAACAGCAGGGGCUGCAAAAUGAGAAGAGUCUUUCUCUCUGUUUUCUCAGAGUUUCAUAAGCCCAACGAGCUUAAAGUACAUGUUUUGGAUUUGGUGUUUCUGCCUGCUACAGGGUUGGAAUAUCACUGUUAAAGUGAUAGGUAAUGUCUUGCUGCUGUGAGAAGCCAGGUCUCUCAAGCCACCUUACUGGUAUUUGCAUGGAUUUUUAGCAGCUUCUGUUUAUUUCUUAAAAUCAUACUGUAAAUAAGAGAUUGUUAUCCUCAGUGAUUGAUGAUAAAUUUUUAAACAUGAA